GUCUAUGGCCAUGCCACCCUGAACAAGCUCAAUCUUGUCUGAUCUUGGAAGCUAAGCAGGGUCGUGCCUGUUUAGUACUUGGAUGGGAGCACACCUAGGAAGACCAGGUGUUGUAGUCG
rnacentral:rRNA from 1 species